GUUCUGCCCUAGUGCACAGAGGCCAUGCUGAGGAGAGGUGUAUUUGUUAGAGCUCCUGUCAAAGGAGAGAAUAAACCCCCAGUUGGCAUGAGGUCAGUGGGUCUCAUCUACUUCAACGUCACAAAGACUGAAGAUGAAAUACUUUGUAAGGUUUUUUAAUCUUCUUUCCUCAUCGCUGAUGUUCACAAACACAGGCUGCUCUGCCUCUGCUCUGCAGGAUGAUACCUUUUGCAGAUGUCUGUGGUUUGCAUCUGUCUGUAACAACACGCUCAGAAGCUCCAGGAAUAAACAAGUGUGUCAGAACACUUUGACGCUAAUGGUGUCUCCCCAGAUGAAGUUCCAAAAUAUACAAUUUUCAUUUACAGGCGGUCACAUUUUGGGAGCCCCGAGAGUAAGACUUUUGAUUACACAACCUGCCAUCUCUGUUGGAAGUUGGUCUUCCAGGGAAUAAACAUGGACCAUAAUUAGGGAGACAUGCAGAUACAGUAGAUGAGGUGAUGGUGGUGGGCUGACUGGACCGGUCUCUGGGCGGGAAACGGCUAUAAUAUUUAUCUUAAACGUGUAUUUUAGUCUUUUCAAGACUACUGCCUGAUUGCUUUGUUCUGUAUCAUUUUAGAUGUGUGUAGAUUUUGUUUUGUAUCCUUUGACUUUAGUAGAAAUGCAAAUAUUUGUUAUUUAUAGUUUUAUUUAGGUCUUGAUGGCGCAGAAAAGUGUUUGGAUGGUUUAAAAACAUAUUUUAUAUAUUUUUAAUAUGCUUUAUUUUGUUAGUCAUUAUUUUAUAUUGCUUAAUGUAUACUACUGUAGAUUAGUUUUGGUCAGUGUCAACAGUGUAUAUUCAGGAUAAGUAUUUUUAAUAAAAAAGGAAAAAUGUGUAAU